GACGAACGCUGGCGGCGUGCUUAACACAUGCAAGUCGAACGGAAAGGCCCUGCUUUUGUGGGGUGCUCGAGUGGCGAACGGGUGAGUAACACGUGAGUCACCUGCCCUUGACUUUGGGAUAACUUCAGGAAACUGGGGCUAAUACCGGAUAGGCGCUCCCGCUGCAUGGUGGGGGUUGGAAAGUUUCGGCGGUUGGGGAUGGACUCGCGGCUUAUCAGCUUGUUGGUGGGGUAGUGGCUUACCAAGGCUUUGACGGGUAGCCGGCCUGAGAGGGUGACCGGCCACAUUGGGACUGAGAUACGGCCCAGACUCCUACGGGAGGCAGCAGUGGGGAAUAUUGCACAAUGGGCGGAAGCCUGAUGCAGCAACGCCGCGUGCGGGAUGACGGCCUUCGGGUUGUAAACCGCUUUCGCCUGUGACGAAGCGUGAGUGACGGUAAUGGGUAAAGAAGCACCGGCUAACUACGUG
rnacentral:rRNA from 1 species